rnacentral:rRNA from 1 species
UACGUAGGGGGCAAGCGUUGUCCGGAAUUAUUGGGCGUAAAGCGCGCGCAGGCGGCGAAUUAAGUUUGGUGUUUAAGCCCGGGGCUCAACCCCGGAUCGCACUGAAAACUGGUUGGCUUGAGUGCGGGAGAGGAAAGUGGAAUUCCACGUGUAGCGGUGAAAUGCGUAGAGAUGUGGAGGAACACCAGUGGCGAAGGCGACUUUCUGGACCGUAACUGACGCUGAGGCGCGAAAGCGUGGGGAGCAAACAGG